rnacentral:rRNA from 1 species
CGUAAAGAGCUCGUAGGUGGUUUGUCGCGUUGUUCGUGAAAUCUCACGGCUUAACUGUGAGCGUGCGGGCGAUACGGGCAGACUUGAGUACUGCAGGGGAGACUGGAAUUCCUGGUGUAGCGGUGGAAUGCGCAGAUAUCAGGAGGAACACCGGUGGCGAAGGCGGGUCUCUGGGCAGUAACUGACGCUGAGGAGCGAAAGCGUGGGGAGCGAACAGGAUUAGAUACCCUGGUAGUCCACGCCGUAAACGGUGGGUACUAGGUGUGGGUUUCCUUCCUUGGGAUCCGUGCCGUAGCUAACGCAUUAAGUACCCCGCCUGGGGAGUACGGCCGCAAGGCUAAAACUCAAAGAAAUUGACGGGGGCCCGCACAAGCGGCGGAGCAUGUGGAUUAAUUCGAUGCAACGCGAAGAACCUUACCUGGGUUUGACAUGCACAGGACGCCGGCAGAGAUGUCGGUUCCCUUGUGGCCUGUGUGCAGGUGGUGCAUGGCUGUCGUCAGCUCGUGUCGUGAGAUGUUGGGUUAAGUCCCGCAACGAGCGCAACCCUUGUCUCAUGUUGCCAGCGGGUAAUGCCGGGGACUCGUGAGAGACUGCCGGGGUCAACUCGGAGGAAGGUGGGGAUGACGUCAAGUCAUCAUGCCCCUUAUGUCCAGGGCUUCACACAUGCUACAAUGGCCGGUACAAAGGGCUGCGAUGCCGCGAGGUUAAGCGAAUCCUUUUAAAGCCGGUCUCAGUUCGGAUCGGGGUCUGCAACUCGACCCCGUGAAGUCGGAGUCGCUAGUAAUCGCAGAUCAGCAACGCUGCGGUGAAUACG